GUUUUGGGACCUGAUCCAAAGCCCACUGUAGUCAAUAGGAGUCUUUCCAUUGAUUUCAAUGGGCUUAAGAUCCGGCCCACAAUGC
rnacentral:pre_miRNA from 1 species